AACGCGAAGAACCUUACCUGGGCUCGAACGGCUGGUCAACGAGGGUGGAAACAUCUUUACCCCGCAAGGGGGUCCAGUCGAGGUGCUGCAUGGCUGUCGUCAGCUCGUGUCGUGAGAUGUUGGGUUAAGUCCCGCAACGAGCGCAACCCUUGUCCUGUGUUGCCAUACCGAAAGGUGGAACUCGCAGGAGACCGCCAGCGAUAAGCUGGAGGAAGGUGGGGAUGACGUCAAGUCCUCAUGGCCUUUAUGUCCAGGGCUACACACGUGCUACAAUGGACGGUACAAAGGGUCGCUAACCCGCGAGGGGGAGCCAAUCCCAAAAAACCGUUCUCAGUUCGGAUUGCAGGCUGCAACCCGCCUGCAUGAAGCUGGAAUCGCUAGUAAUGGCAGAUCAGCACGCUGCCGUGAAUACGUUCCCGGGCCUUGUA
rnacentral:rRNA from 1 species